GACGAACGCUGGCGGCGUGCUUAACACAUGCAAGUCGAACGGAAAGGCCCUGCUUUUGUGGGGUGCUCGAGUGGCGAACGGGUGAGUAACACGUGAGUAACCUUCCCUUGACUUUGGGAUAACUUCAGGAAACUGGGGCUAAUACCGGAUAGGAGCUCCUGCUGCAUGGUGGGGGUUGGACAGUUUCGGCGGUUGGGGAUGGACUCGCGGCUUAUCAGCUUGUUGGUGGGGUAGUGGCUUACCAAGGCUUUGACGGGUAGCCGGCCUGAGAGGGUGACCGGCCACAUUGGGACUGAGAUACGGCCCAGACUCCUACGGGAGGCAGCAGUGGGGAAUAUUGCACAAUGGGCGGAAGCCUGAUGCAGCAACGCCGCGUGCGGGAUGACGGCCUUCGGGUUGUAAACCGCUUUCGCCUGUGACGAAGCGUGAGUGACGGUAAUGGGUAAAGAAGCACCGGCUAACUACGUG
rnacentral:rRNA from 1 species